AAAAAUAAAUAAAAAUAGUGUGAGAAACUAUUUUUAUUGGAUUUAUAGAAGUAAAACAUAAGUCAGAAGUGACUUGUGCUGAAAUCGGAAUAAAAAUAAAAGAUUUAAAAUUUUCUGUUGGAAACGGAACAGAUAAAUUAGCAGAAAAUGCACAGUCUCAGAAAAUUAUGAAAAUUGGAGGAUAAGUCAGAAAUAUUUUUAUGAGGCUAGAUUUAAAGUUUCAUAUUUUUCUGACACCCGUAGAGUGAGAAAUAAAAUCUGACAGCUAUCUGAUAAAGAUUACAGUUUGGUACAGUUUUCGGUGACCAAAUGGGGUCGAAACUGAAACUUAAAAU
rnacentral:lncRNA from 1 species